rnacentral:lncRNA from 1 species
GCGAAAAAGAAAAUAAAAAAAUUCUCAAGAUGUUUGAGAAGUUUCGCGUAGAGCGAGGGUCUGCGCAGGGCUGUUUGUGUGUUGAGUUAAAGGUCUUUUUUCGUUGUUCGCAACUCUAUAUUUAUAGUGGAUGAUGUACUUGCUUGACACGGCUAGAUAGAGUUUGACUGCAACUCUAACUAGCUGAAUAAAAUUUGAUCCGUGGCCUUUAAAUUUCUGCGACCUUCAAAAUAAAGCUCAUCCAGGCUUUAUCACACCACAUCAUAAACCUAAUCCACCUAGGCUUCUGAUCUUAUUAAAAAACCUCCAGCAGAAACCUUCACUUCAAUCACACAAAAAGCCUAGUCUACCUAGGUUUGUUGUGUCAUCAUCUCAACCUAGGCUUAUCAUAUCACCACCAAAAUCCAAUCCAAUCCAAUCCUAUUUAAGCUUCUUCAUAAUCUUUACCCAUGCAUGCAUCCUAAUCCCCACCAUACUUUAAAUAAAAAAUAAUCAGUUUGCACCACACAUUCGCACGCCAGAACACACCCAAUUCAGCUUGACUUGUGCUGCCAUGUUUCCAGUUGGAAAUAUAUAUCUCAUCUUUCAUAAUAAAUUACUAUUAAAAGAUAAUUAUGAUAAAACAUCAUAACAUUAUCCUUUAAUAAUAAUAAAAUGAAUUAUCUCCAUUUUUCAUCUGACGGUGUAAAACUAUGCUCACUCAGCUAUCUUGAUUGCAUGGGCCGAUGGUGUAAAUUCAGGUCCAAACAUUACCCCCCAAUUUCCUUGAGCUUCAGUCAUAGGCCGAAUGGUUAAGGAAAUUAGCGUAGUCGAAGAAAUAUAUGGUUGAGGAAUCCACGUCAUAGCUUAACAUGUCUAGAAAGAAUCCUCGACGAGCUGGCCGAGAAAAACCAAAACGAGGUCAAAGUCUUGAAGCCCCGCUUACCGCUUCUCAUGGUACUCAGGAUAUAUAUGCAUGGCAAGCCGAAUGACCCCAUGGACGAUAGCACUAGCACUAGGCAAUAAUGCCUCACCGAGCUCGGCAUGUGUGUUAUAUACUAAUAACUAAUAAAAGUGAUUGAACCUUCUCAAGAAGGGCUUGUCUUGAACAUCAACAAAUGUAGGCCGACAAACACCAAGGCCGAGGUCUAGAAAUAUUCUAUUCGGCCAAUCUCUUUUUUUAUUAUUUACUCGACUUCGGUGACCUUUUACUUUUCUCAACCUUAGCGACCUCGACUUAAUAUACUGUUUCAAGUUGCCACCUUAUUUUAAGCCAUAUAUAUAUAUACACACACACAUACAUAUUAAACCUGAUAGUAUAUGUAGCCUGGCUGCUUAAUGUGAUGCCGAUGUAUAUAUAUAUUAAUCCUAUGUCAGCAAUGCACAUAAUCUCAACCGCAAUUAAGGCCGAAUUCUUUCCUACUUUUCUUGACUUAGGCCUAAUCCAAACCUAGGCCAAAAUGUUUUGUCUCGGCCCCCAUAAUUGUUUUUUUCUUUUCUUUUUAAGUCGAACCAUCAUGUGUUUGAAUGCUGCCCCCUUUAUUUUCUUAUUGUAUCGGCCUAAAAGGCCGAAUGUUUAAGAAAAUAAUAUAUUCUUCCUUUUAUUUUUAUUUUUUAAGCAAAAGCAAAAGAAAACAGCUGAAUAAUAAUCAGGAGGAGGCCAACGAUGCUUUACUCCAAGCCGAGAUCCUUGUAUUUCAAUAUAGCCAAUCAGAUUUUGUAUUGAGCCGAAUAACAAGUGAUCUCCAAAUAUUUUUGACUUGGCGAAAUAUUUUCCACUUUCGGCUGCCAAAUGUGUUGAACAAUUAUCAUGCCCCCUAGGCAUAAUAAUUUCGCUAAUUUCGGCUUUUAACUCGAACAACUUAGCCGAAUGAGAUUUCUCCAUAUCGGCUUUAUCCCCAAUAAUCAUAUCGAGUAGCAUAGUUUGUUAGACUAGGCCUAUGUCUCGGCCUUGCUUGUCAUUGGAGCACCCCUCUGACGAAUCAUUUUCUAAGUCGAUUUGUGGCUCAGAAACUUGAACUUUUGCUUCUAGGCCUACCAUAAUUUCAGUCUAGACUGAAAAAACAGGUGGCCUAGGUUCUUCUUUUACUGUCUCGACAAUGUUCUAAGGCCAAAUUUUAAUAGUGGCUGGAGCGAAAAAUUGCCCCCUAGCCUUUUGAGAGAAAGACUUUUGCCUUUCUUUAUUUUCUUCAAUGAUCCAGCCAAGAAGUUUUUGUUGCUCGACAAUUUCCUUGAAUAGGCGCCGAAUCUCAUCCUGAGCGUGAUCUUGAUAUAUCAUGUGAACUUCGUAGUUUUAGCAUUGGGUCCCACUGGGCAUGCCAAAAUGUUAACCCUAAAAACUACCAAGCCUACGUGGCGCGCAGGCCGAGUAACUAAUAAGCUAACUACGUCAUUCGGUUAUUUGCGGGGCAUGCCAACUCGUCGGCCGAGCUCGACCAAAGAGUAAAAUUUGUUGAUGUUGCAUUAGGUACGCUGCUGACUUCUUGAUCUUGCGACUGCGGUCGAGGAAGGAACACGUCUCGGCCUUCGGGUUCUAGAGCCUGAAAACAAGGCUGCUAGUUCUGCGAAGUUUAAUAUCAAAUUCGGCUUUCAAUGUACCGAAUGUAGUAACUUGUAACACCUUAUCUCGCUGAGAAGGCUAAUGAGAUGACCUCUGCCAAUAAGGAUUCAAAAAUCCUUCUCGACCGAGACUUGGAUAGAUAACCAGUCGGCCCCGUCGCAGUGCUGUUUAUCCAAACUGAAGGUGCUUCACGGUCGGCUAAAUCUACAACAAUAGUGUUGUUUAUCCAAACUGAAGAUGUUCGCCGGUUGCCUUCAUAGUGUUAUUUAUCUAAACUGAAGAUGUGUUGGUGAAAAAGAACAUAAAAAAAAUCUCAAGAUGUUUGAGAGGUUUCGCGUAGAGCGAGGGUUUGCGCAUGGCAGUUUGUGUGUUGAGUUGAAGGUCUUUUUUCGUUGUUCGCGACUCUGUAUUUAUAGUGGCUGAUGUACUUGAUUGGCAUGGUUAGAUAGAGUUUGACUGCAACUCUAACUCGUUGAAUAAAAUUUGAUCUAUGGCCUUUAAAUUCCUGCGACCUCCAAAAUAAAGCCCAUCCAGGCUUUAUCACACCACAUCAUAAACCUAAUCCACCUAGGAUUCUGAUCUUAUUAAAAAACCUCCAGCAGAAACCUUCACUUCAAUCACACAAAAAGCCUAGUCCACCUAGGUUUGUUGUGUCAUCAUCUCAACCUAGGCUUAUCACAUCACCACCAAAAUCCAAUCCAAUCCUAUCCUAUUUAGGCUUCUUCAUAAUCUUUACCCAUGCAUGCAUCCUGAUCCUCACCAUACUUUAAAUAAACAAUAAUCAGUUUGCACCACACAUUCGCACGCCAGAACACACCCAAUCAGCUUGACUUGUGCUGCCAUGUUUCCAAUUGGAAAUAUAUAUCUCAUCUUUCAUAAUAAAUUACUAUUAAAAGAUAAUUAUGAUAAAACACCAUAACAUUAUCCUUUAAUAAUAAUAAAAUGAAUUAUCUCCACUUUUCAUCUGACGGUGUGAAACUAUGCUCACUCAGCUAUCUUGAUUGCACGGGCCGAUGGUGUAAAUUCGGGUCCAAACAAAAACACGGCGUUGAUAUUGAAGAAAAUCAAAACAAUUAAGAAGACUUACCAGAGCGAGAAGAAGCAGAUUCUAUGGCGGCACAAUCCUUGAGUCUCUUUAUCUUGUCAAUGACUGGCACACUUUCAAAGACUUAAUCUGUUUUUGGGUGUUUGGUAGAUGUCAU